UAGCAAGUUCAUGCCAUGGGGUGCUCUAUUUUUCUCGAUGCUGAAUUGAUUGAUUAAUAUGCUGAACUUGACAUCAAUUUGAUCACUUGUGUGAUUCUUGAGCCUAAUUUUUCGUUUGUUGAGUGAUUAGUACACAUGGUUUGUCAUUCUAGAACUUACUCGGUUAUGCAUGUCAAGGCCACAUUUAAAUGAGUUUAAUGCAUUGAAAUGAUAGGGCACCUAGGAAUGAGCCAUUUUUGGACUUUCUUAAAACCAAGCCUUGGAUUAUUUAUCACUAGGGAGCCAAGUUGAGCCUUAACUCUUAUUCUUCGCUUAAGACCCUAGUUUUAGCCGUAAAACCUCUUUUUAGACUUUCUUUUUGAAUCUCGUGUGAAGAAGUGCUUUGAUUUCAUUAUACUGAAUUUUGGAGUAUUAUUCGAGAGGCAUUACACCCAUUUAUGUAUCGUAAAAAAAAAACAAAAAAAACAAAAAAAAAGCAAAAGAAAAAAAAAAGAAGAGAGAGGAAGUAGAUGAAUGAAAAGAGGAGAAAAGGCGAAGAUUGUGGCAAGUGCUAAUUCACUUCACUUGUGUGAUGGUUGAGAUGUCUUUAAGUUUCAAAUGUGCAAGAAUCUAUGUAAUGAAUUUCUGGGCACUUUCUUUAUACUUUUACACCCUUUUGACUCCUUUUUAUCCUACCUUCUCACCUAAGCCCCAUUACAACCUUUUAAAGUCCCUUGAUUGCUGCAUUUAAAUUCAUAAGUAAGUAGUGGAGAUAUGAUAUAUGAGCAAGCUUAUGGUAGUGUCAUUCUAUUGUGUUGAUCUGAGAGUUAUCUUAUAUACAUCUCAUAUACAUUUUGGAGUGAUUGAGUGCACUUUAAACGGUGAGAAUUGUUGAUUUGGUAUACUCUGAUUUCGAUGAGGUUAUUGGGGAAUUUGGAAUGCCGUUCUUGGUAUGAACUACCGUGGUUUGCUUAGUAUCUUUAUUGCAUUUCUGAGUUAAUUAUGCUUGAGGGCAAGCAUAGUUCAGGUGUGGGGGAGAUUGAUAGGGUGCAUUUU
rnacentral:lncRNA from 1 species